GUAAAACAUCAUUUUAUAUAUAAUAAAAUAUAUAUUAAUAUACCCUAAAUAAGUAGCAAAAACUGGUUUUUAAUAUGUUGUUUUAUAAUAAUAAUACAGAUGAUUCAUUAGAGUGUGUUUUCUUAAACAAUAAUUUUAGAGCACAAAUAUGUGCAACAAGUCUGCCUUAUAUCUAUGAGGAAAUUGCCAUUGAAGGUGUCAAGUAACUCAUUCUAAGGAAGUAAAGUUAUAGAAUGCUCCCAAAGGUUUUGAUCUUGUCAUAAUAAAAAUCCUAAGUUUCAAGUAUAUCCUCAAUUUGUUAGUCUGUUUUGUGUUGAAGUACUAAAAUACCUGAAACUGGGACUCAGUAAAGAACAGAGGCCAAUUUAGUACAUAGUUUUGGAGGCUUAAGAGGAUGGUGUGAGCAUCUGCGUGGGUCUGGUGAGGGUUUUACUAUGGAUGGCUUCACAGUGAUAGGAAGAGAUUACAUGGUGAGACAGGAUGCAGGAUACUGAGGCAGAGAAGAACCAGAUAUGCUCUUCUUACAGCAACUGCUCUCAAGCGAAUUAAACUACUCUUACAAAAUGUGACCCACUUCCAUAAAACACCAGCAUUAAUCCAUUUAUGAGGGUGAAGCCCUCAUGAACUAGUUACCCUUUACUAAGCCACAUACUCUAAAGGUCCCACUACUUAAAUACUGCCCUACUGGGGACCACGUUGUGAUUCUGUCUGGAAUGAACCAUAUCCAAAUCAAAACUAUAGCAUUGUGGACCUGGUCCCCAAAUAUCAGGUUCUUCUCACAAAGCAAAAUAUAAUUCUUCUAUCCUCAAUAGUUCUGAAGUCUC
rnacentral:lncRNA from 1 species